UUUCCGUAGGUGAACCUGCGGAAGGAUCAUUUAUGAUUUCUUGCCCGAAAGGGUAGACCUUCCACCCUAGUGUAUUAGUACUUUGUUGCUUUGGCGGGCGCGAGGACGCCAGAGAAUACAAAAACUCCUUUUACUAAUGGCGUCUGAGUACUAUAUAAUAGUUAAAACUUUCAACAACGGAUCACUUGGUUCUG
rnacentral:misc_RNA from 1 species